rnacentral:rRNA from 1 species
AUUGAACGCUGGCGGCAGGCCUAACACAUGCAAGUCGAACGAGUGGCGGACGGGUGAGUAAUGUCUGGGAAACUGCCUGAUGGAGGGGGCUAACUCCUGGAAACGGUAGCUAAUACCGCAUACCAUCAGAUGUGCCCAGAUGGGAUUAGCUAGUUGGUGGGGUAACGGCUCACCAAGGCGACGAUCCCUAGCUGGUCUGAGAGGGUGACCAGCCACACUGGGACUGAGACACGGUCCAGAAGCCUACGGGAGGCAGCAGUGGGGAAUAUUGCACAAUGGGAGCAAGCCUGAUGCAGCCAUGCCGCGUGGAUGAAGAAGGCCUUCGGGUUGUAAAGUACGUUCAGCGAGGAGGCGUUACCCGCAGAAGAAGCACCGGCUAACUCCGUGCCAGCAGCCGCGGUAAUUU